UCUAAUCGGGUCCCUUUGCUGAAGCACUGUGGGUGGAUAGCUACCAUACUGCUGACAGUAAUAGCUUCCCACAUCUUCGGCCUGGAGGUUGCUGAUGUUGAGGGUGAAGUCUGUCCCAGACCCACUGCC